UGGGGAAUAUUGCACAAUGGGCGCAAGCCUGAUGCAGCCAUGCCGCGUGUGUGAAGAAGGCCUUCGGGUUGUAAAGCACUUUCAGCGAGGAGGAAGGUGGUGAGCUUAAUACGCUCAUCAAUUGACGUUACUCGCAGAAGAAGCACCGGCUAACUCCGUGCCAGCAGCCGCGGUAAUACGGAGGGUGCAAGCGUUAAUCGGAAUUACUGGGCGUAAAGCGCACGCAGGCGGUUUGUUAAGUCAGAUGUGAAAUCCCCGGGCUCAACCUGGGAACUGCAUUUGAAACUGGCAAGCUAGAGUCUCGUAGAGGGGGGUAGAAUUCCAGGUGUAGCGGUGAAAUGCGUAGAGAUCUGGAGGAAUACCGGUGGCGAAGGCGGCCCCCUGGACGAAGACUGACGCUCAGGUGCGAAAGCGUGGGGCAGCAAACAGGAUUAGAUACCCUGGUAGUCCAGCGCUGUAAACGAUGUCGAUUUUGGAGGUUGUGCCCUUGAGGCGUGGCUUCCGGAGCUAACGCGUUAAAUCGACCGCCUGGGGAGUACGGCCGCAAGGUUAAAACUCAAAUGAAUUGACGGGGUCU
rnacentral:rRNA from 1 species